rnacentral:rRNA from 1 species
AGAGCGAACGCUGGCGGCAUGCUUAACACAUGCAAGUCGCACGGGGUGGUUUCGGCCAUUCAGUGGCGGACGGGUAAGUAACGCGUAGGUAUCUAUCCUUGGGUGGGGGACAACCGUGGGAAACUACGGCUAAUACCGCAUGACGACCGAGGUCCAAAGCCCGCGAGGGUGCCUGGGGAGGAGCCUGCGUCCGAUUAGCUAGUUGGUGGGGUAACGGCCUACCAAGGCGACGAUCGGUAGCUGGUCUGAGAGGAUGAUCAGCCACACUUGGACUGAGACACGGCCCAGACUCCUACGGGAGGCAGCAGUGGGGAAUAUUGGACAAUGGGCGCAAGCCUGAUCCAGCAAUGCCGCGUGGGUGAAGAAGGUUUUCGGAUUGUAAAGCCCUUUCGGCGGGACGAUGAUGACGGUACCCGCAGAAGAAGCCCCGGCUAACUUCGUGCCAGCAGCCGC